rnacentral:rRNA from 1 species
GACGAACGCUGGCGGCGUGCCUAAUACAUGCAAGUAGGACGCAGUUGCGAACGGGUGAGUAACGCGUAGGUAACUACCUAUUAGAGGGGGAUAACUAUUGGAAACGAUAGCUAAUACCGCAUACUAGUAGCUGGACCUGCGUUGUAUUGGCUAGUAGGUAGGGUAAUGGCCUACCUAGGCAACGAUACAUAGCAGAACGGAGAGGGUGAUAGGACACACCGGGACUGAGACACGGCCCAGACUCCGACGGGAGGCAGCAGUAGGGACGCGUAGGCAAUGGGGGGAACCCUGACCGAGCAACGCCGCGGGAGUGAAGAAGGUUUUCGGAUCGUAAAGCUCUGUUGUUAAGGAAGCGGUACUUAACCAGAAAGGGACGGCUAACGACGUGCCAGCAGCCGCGGUAAUAC